AACGAACGCUGGCGGCAUGCCUAACACAUGCAAGUCGAACGAGACCUUCGGGUCUAGCGGCGCACGGGUGCGUAACGCGUGGGAAUCUGCCCUCUGGUACGGAAUAACUCAGGGAAACUUGAGCUAAUACCGUAUAAUGACUUCGGUCCAAAGAUUUAUCGCCUGAGGAUGAGCCCGCGUCGGAUUAGCUAGUUGGGGAGGUAAAGGCUCACCAAGGCGACGAUCCGUAGCUGGUCUGAGAGGAUGAUCAACCACACUGGGACUGAGACACGGCCCAGACUCCUACGGGAGGCAGCAGUGGGGAAUAUUGGACAAUGGGCGAAAGCCUGAUCCAGCAAUGCCGCGUGAGUGAUGAAGGCCUUAGGGUUGUAAAGCUCUUUUACCCGGGAUGAUGAUGACAGUACCGGGAGAAUAAGCCCCGGCUAACUCCGUGCCAGCCGCCGCAGUAA
rnacentral:rRNA from 1 species